AUGCCGCGUGUGUGAAGAAGGCCUUCGGGUUGUAAAGCACUUUUUGUCCGGAAAGAAAUCGCCUGCGCUAACACCGCAGGUGGAUGACGGUACCGGAAGAAUAAGCACCGGCUAACUACGUGCCAGCAGCCGCGGUAAUACGUAGGGUGCAAGCGUUAAUCGGAAUUACUGGGCGUAAAGCGUGCGCAGGCGGUUCCGCAAGUCAGAUGUGAAAUCCCCGGGCUCAACCUGGGAACCGCAUUUGAAACUACGGAGCUAGAGUGUGUCAGAGGGGGGUAGAAUUCCACGUGUAGCAGUGAAAUGCGUAGAGAUGUGGAGGAAUACCGAUGGCGAAGGCAGCCCCCUGGGACAAUACUGACGCUCAUGCACGAAAGCGUGGGGAGCAAACAGGAUUAGAUACCCUGGUAGUCCACGCCCUAAACGAUGUCAACUAGUUGUCGGGAAUUCAUUUUCUCGGUAACGCAGCUAACGCGUGAAGUUGACCGCCUGGGGAGUACGGUCGCAAGAUUA
rnacentral:rRNA from 1 species